UUUUAAAACGAAGAACCUUACCCAGUCUUGACAUCCCCAUGACAGAAAAGUAAUAUAGCCUUCUUUUUGGGACAGAGGUGACAGGUGGUGCAUGGUUGUCGUCAGCUCGUGUCGUGAGAUGUUGGGUUAAGUCCCGCAACGAGCGCAACCCUUAUCUUUAGUAGCCAGCAUUUCGGAUGGGCACUCUAGGGAGACUGCCAGGGAUAACCUGGAGGAAGGUGGGGAUGACGUCAAAUCAUCAUGCCCCUUAUGAUUUGGGCUACACACGUGCUACAAUGGCGUAAACAAAGGGAAGCGAACCCGUGAGGGCAAGCAAAUCCCAAAAAUAACGUCUCAGUUCGGAUUGUAGUCUGCAACUCGACUACAUGAAGCUGGAAUCGCUAGUAAUCGCGGAUCAGAAAGACUACUGGCC
rnacentral:rRNA from 1 species